rnacentral:rRNA from 1 species
UCUAGUGGCGAACGGGUGCGUAACACGUGAGCAAUCUGCCGGGAAGUGGGGGAUAACUCGCCGAAAGGCGAAUUAAUACCGCAUAUGGCCAGGGAAGACAUCUUCCCGAAGCCAAAGUCGCAAGACGCUUCCUGAUGAGCUCGCGGCCUAUCAGCUAGUUGGUGAGGUAACGGCUCACCAAGGCUAUGACGGGUAGCUGGUCUGAGAGGACGACCAGCCACACUGGAACUGAGACACGGUCCAGACACCUACGGGUGGCAGCAGUCGAGAAUUUUUCACAAUGGGGGAAACCCUGAUGGAGCGACGCCGCGUGGAGGAUGAAGGUUUUCGGAUUGUAAACUCCUGUCAAAUGGGAACAAGAAAGUGAUAGUACCAUUAGAGGAAGAGACGGCUAACUCUGUGCCAGCAGCCGCGGUAAUACAGAGGUCUCAAGCGUUGUUCGGAUUCAUUGGGCGUAAAGGGUGCGCAGGCUGUGGGGUAAGUCGGAUGUGAAAUUUAGGGGCUCAACCUCUAAACUGCAUUCGAUACUGCUCCGCUAGAGGUAUGUAGAGGAGAUUGGAAUUCACGGUGUAGCAGUGAAAUGCGUAGAUAUCGUGAGGAAGACCAGUGGCGAAGGCGAAUCUCUGGGCAUUACCUGACGCUCAUGCACGAAGGCCAGGGGAGCAAACGGGAUUAGAUACCCCGGUAGUCCUGGCAGUAAACGGUGCACGUUUGGUGUGGGAGGAUUCGACCCCUUCCGUGCCGGAGCUA